CCAGAGAUGGCGGGCCCCCGCGCCCCCGUCCCCAACCCUUUGUUGACCGCCCCACUUUUGCCUCGGGGGCAGAGCGGCCCUCCGCCGCCCCCGGUGGACCACUUAACACUGUCUCUGUACGUCGGAGUCUUUGAUAAAUAAAUGA
rnacentral:misc_RNA from 1 species